rnacentral:rRNA from 1 species
AGUGAACGCUGGCGGUAGGCCUAACACAUGCAAGUCGAACGGCAGCACAGUAAGAGCUUGCUCUUACGGGUGGCGAGUGGCGGACGGGUGAGGAAUACAUCGGAAUCUACUUUUUCGUGGGGGAUAACGUAGGGAAACAUACGCUAAUACCGCAUACGACCUACGGGUGAAAGCAGGAGAUCUUCGGACCUUGCGCGAUUGAAUGAGCCGAUGUCGGAUUAGCUAGUUGGCGGGGUAAGGGCACACCAAGGCGACGAUCCGUAGCUGGUCUGAGAGGAUGAUCAGCCGCACUGGAACUGAGACACGGUCCAGACUCCUACGGGAGGCAGCAGAGGGGAAUAUUGGACAAUGGGCGAAAGACUGAUGCAGCCAUACCGCGUGGGUGAAGAAGGCCUUCGGGUUGUAAAACCAUUUUGUUGGGAAAGAAAAGCAGCAGGUUAAUACCCCGCUGUUCUGACGGUACCCAAAGAAUAAGCACCGGCUAACUUCGUG